UGACGUCACAUGAUUAUUACAGUGAGUUUAUGGAACCGCUUGGAAGAUCACCUUUGAGAUUUGAGCCUUGAACUUGAGCCUGCGAGAUGACAGUGAUGUGACCAUCAGCCUUCUGAAAGAGAUGUCAACAUCCAACCAGACGAGAUGAGCUAGUGACUGACCAGUUCGUCAUCAACAUGACACUGGAUGAGUUAUUCAUAAUGGUACCGAUGACAGUGAAUUUCAGAUGUGUUAAUUAAUUAUAAAGACUGAACUAGCUGCAGAAGCAGAUUUCUUUUAGGCUUAGGAACACUGCAUUACCAGAAGUUUAGCGGGCUCAAAUUAGUGAGUCAUGGACAUUAGAAGAUCAUAUUGGGAUUGUGUCAACCAUUGUAUAUUCAUAUUUUGUAUAUAAAAUGUGUUCAAAU